rnacentral:rRNA from 1 species
AAAUUGAAGAGUUUGAUCAUGGCUCAGAUUGAACGCUGGCGGCAGGCCUAACACAUGCAAGUCGAACGGUAACAGGAAGCAGCUUGCUGCUUCGCUGACGAGUGGCGGACGGGUGAGUAAUGUCUGGGAAACUGCCUGAUGGAGGGGGAUAACUACUGGAAACGGUAGCUAAUACCGCAUAAUGUCGCAAGACCAAAGAGGGGGACCUUCGGGCCUCUUGCCAUCGGAUGUGCCCAGAUGGGAUUAGCUUGUUGGUGGGGUAACGGCUCACCAAGGCGACGAUCCCUAGCUGGUCUGAGAGGAUGACCAGCCACACUGGAACUGAGACACGGUCCAGACUCCUA